rnacentral:rRNA from 1 species
UACGGGGGGUGCGAGCGUUUGUCCGGAAUCACUGGGCGUAAAGGGCGCGUAGGUGGCUUUGUAAGUUUGCGGUGAAAGCCCGGGGCUCAACCCCGGGUCUGCCGUGGAUACUGCAAGGCUUGAGUACUGUAGAGGCAGGUAGAAUAUCGGGUGUAGCGGUGGAAUGCGUAGAGAUCCGAUAGAAGACCGGUGGCGAAGGCGGCCUGCUGGGCAGUAACUGACACUGAGGCGCGACAGCGUGGGGGAGCAAACAGG